UCUUGUUCUUCUUGGUUGUUUCUUCCAGUGCACCAGCUAAGGAGCUUCUGCAGCUCCUUGAAUCUGGAUUUGAUGACUGAAGAUUGCAGCACAGAGCUGUGGUGGAGCUCAUGGGCCUAAAAUUCCUGCCCGGAACUCCCCGGAGCAUUCCACACCCAGCCCUAUGCUCUGGCAGCUUUCAAAGAGAAGAAUAUAUCCCCUCCUUCACUACCUUCCUGCCCCUCCUCAGAAAGACCAGAAGUCCAUCAGGAAUGUCAGUCCUCUCUCCUGCAGGAACCUUUGGACUUCAUCCCUGUGAUGAAAUCAGCUUCAAGCAAUGAGUUAAUGUUUGACCAGGACCACACAAGCUGCACAAGGAAACCAUGUGCAAGACCUUCUCUUCGUCCUUAUUUGCUUUACAAGUGAGCAAUGUGGCGUGUUGUAAAGGAGUCCCAUUUCUGGAAAUGAGGAUCCCUUAAGGUUGCCUCAAGAGAGUGCAGAAUCACUGCAUCUGGAAGAUCUUGAUCACAGCAUCUUGAGAGAUAGAAACAAGUCUCCAAAGGCUGUGAUCUGAAGCAGGGCAGGAAAAGCAUUUUGCCAAAGAAGAAUAGCUUGGAGCAGUUUCACUCUGGAGGUCUCACACAGUAAAGGAGAGGACAGGAAGAAGGCAG